rnacentral:sRNA from 1 species
CCUCUUCGAUCUGCUGUGGGCAGAUGAAGUGAAUGUGCGUAUCGACGCCGCCUGCGGUAAGGAUCAUGCCUUCGCCAGCGAUGACUUCAGUGGAGGCGCCGACGGCGAUGGUCACGUCGGGUUGAAUGUCCGGGUUGCCGGCCUUGCCGAUGGCGGCGAUGCGGCCGUUCUUGAGGCCGACGUCAGCUUUUACGAUGCCCCAGUGAUCGAUGAUCAACGCGUUGGUGAUCAGCGUGUCGACCACCUCGGCAGCCAGCAACUGGCCUUGGCCCAUACCGUCACGG